rnacentral:rRNA from 1 species
GAUGAACGCUGGCGGCGUGCCUAAUACAUGCAAGUCGAGCGAACAGAUGAGGAGCUUGCUCCUCUGACGUUAGCGGCGGACGGGUGAGUAACACGUGGAUAACCUACCUAUAAGACUGGGAUAACUUCGGGAAACCGGAGCUAAUACCGGAUAAUAUAUUGAACCGCAUGGUUCAAUAGUGAAAGACGGUUUUGCUGUCACUUAUAGAUGAUUCCGCGCCGCAUUAGCUAGUUGGUAAGGUAACGGCUUACCAAGGCGACGAUGCGUAGCCGACCUGAGAGGGUGAUCGGCCACACUGGAACUGAGACACGGUCCAGACUCCUACGGGAGGCAGCAGUAGGGAAUCUUCCGCAAUGGGCGAAAGCCUGACGGAGCAACGCCGCGUGAGUGAUGAAGGUCUUCGGAUCGUAAAACUCUGUUAUUAGGGAAGAACAAAUGUGUAAGUAACUAUGCACGUCUUGACGGUACCUAAUCAGAAAGCCACGGCUAACUACGUG